rnacentral:lncRNA from 1 species
AACUUCCACAGCCCCUGUCUGCUGUUGUUGUGAGUGCCCAGGUGAUGAUGCCACCUCUGUUGUUGCUAUCUGUCUUUUCACUCAGAAGCCUCACCUGAGGGGACACCCUGCUCUGCCCUAAACUCUCCACUCUGAUUUUCAGCUGUCUGCUUUAAAGGGGCUUCCAAUCUCUGCUGUUUUUUGGGGGGUGCCAGGUUCAGUAGUGUUCACUAUCUACAAGUCUAUCUGUCUGCUGUGUGCUAUUUAUUCUUUGACAUUGGUUUAACAAUAAAACGCUUCAAAACCAAAAGUGUGGCCACUGUAGAUCAUUCCCGGAUCGCACAGAACAACACUGUACUUCUGAUGGUUCACGCUUCUAUCGCUAGGCCCUAAAUGAUGUGCUUAGAAGGAGGCACAGAGUGAGCUACCAAUACUCGGGCUAGCCAGGCAUAAGCCAGGAAGUACUGAGGCAGACACCUGGGAAGAAUGCGGAUUUUCCUAUUGGUGUGUGCAUGCUGUUUUCUUUAAGCAACUAAUUCAGCAGCCAGCCCCAAAUUUGUCUGCCUCAGGCAGGUAAAGUUUAUAUUGAAAAUCUUUAUUUUCUAUAUAUGUAUCCUAUACUGAUUUUGACCACUGUACUGUAGAGAACAAGGUUCAUCCCCCUCACCCCAUUUUGUAAAGGCAGAAUUUGAAUUUAUUGCCAAGGCUGGGCUAGACUAGACCUCACCACUUAGCCCAGGUUGGCCUUGAACUUGAAACUAUCCUCUUGCCUCAGCCUCUCAAGGACUGUGCUUACAGGUGCCAGCCACUAUGGCUGCCUGAGGACAUAGCUCUUAAAAUAAGUAUUCUUAGGUCUAUGCACAGACUUUAUAGAAACCUGAUGAAAACCAUUCUGGCUCUCCAGUAAAAAGCAUGUAUUCUGUCCUGUUUUUAGCCCUGUAGAACUUAAGUACUCCAAGGCUGUUUGGAAAGGUUCAGAAUUCUUUAGUGCAAUACUGAGGUACUGAGCACAGUACCUUUAUGAGGUACUGAGAAAGCUGACCAAGCUAGUCAGAGGAGCCCAGGAUAGGCUCUUAGCUCUUCAUUCAAGCAGGAGAAGGGUGGUCAUAGGUUUAGGAUCUCUGUGUAGUUGCUCUUAGUUCUGAGUUACAUGAAAAUGCUAAGUAGCCCUCCCUUUUGCACACUAUAAAUGCAUGCAUGCUUGUGUGUGAACUGCCUCUGCCUCUACGGUGUUUAAUGGUUGUUCAGUCUCUGAUGAGGCUUCUGUUCUUAGUAAGAGGCUUCGGUCACCCUCUAGCUUGCAGCUUCUUCAAUUUUCUUACAGACAGCUGGGAUGAGACGGGCUGCCCAUGUUGUUGGUCUGAUUCCUGGCUUCAGCAUUUUUCAGUAUUUCAAAGCAAAUUUGGAACACAGUGGUGAUACCUGUUCCUUUGUAUGCUAGUUAAAAAGCAAAUGAAGAAAAGCCUCGCAGAUGCCUCCUGCACCAUGAUGGGCUGAGUUGUCUGAAGAUGGAGACACAUUAACAUGUCUGCCUGGACAGAGCCUGGCCUAGGUGGAUGCCGUGGAUGAAUUCAUUCAGCCCCAUUCAGAGCCUCUCAAACAUGGCUGUCCACACAGGCUGAGCUGCUCAGGACAGGGUCAUGGGAGAAGACUCUGUGCUUUAUUGGACCUCUGGUUUUCUCAAUAAAGUAAGAAUUUUGACAGUGACAGAAAAUCAAUAGUAUCUAUUCGAAGUGCUUUCUUAGCUUGGGGCUAUCAAAUU